rnacentral:rRNA from 1 species
UACGUAGGGUGCGAGCGUUAAUCGGAAUUACUGGGCGUAAAGCGUGCGCAGGCGGUUUUGUAAGCCAGAUGUGAAAUCCCCGGGCUUAACCUGGGAAAUGGCAUUUGGGACUGCAAGGCUUGAGUGCGGCAGAGGAGACUGGAAUUCCUGGUGUAGCAGUGAAAUGCGUAGAUAUGCGGAGGAACACCGAUGGCGAAGGCAAUCCCCUGGGCCUGCACUGACGCUCAUGCACGAAAGCGUGGGGAACAAACAGG